rnacentral:rRNA from 1 species
CCUACGGGAGGCAGCAGUGGGGAAUUUUGGACAAUGGGCGAAAGCCUGAUCCAGCAAUGCCGCGUGAGUGAAGAAGGCCUUCGGGUUGUAAAGCUCUUUUGUCAGGGAAGAAACGGUGAAAGCUAAUAUCUUUUGCUAAUGACGGUACCUGAAGAAUAAGCACCGGCUAACUACGUGCCAGCAGCCGCGGUAAUACGUAGGGUGCAAGCGUUAAUCGGAAUUACUGGGCGUAAAGCGUGCGCAGGCGGUUUUGUAAGUCUGAUGUGAAAUCCCCGGGCUCAACCUGGGAAUUGCAUUGGAGACUGCAAGGCUAGAAUCUGGCAGAGGGGGGUAGAAUUCCACGUGUAGCAGUGAAAUGCGUAGAUAUGUGGAGGAACACCGAUGGCGAAGGCAGCCCCCUGGGUCAAGAUUGACGCUCAUGCACGAAAGCGUGGGGAGCAAACAGGAUUAGAUACCCUGGUAGUCCACGCCCUAAACGAUGUCUACUAGUUGUCGGGUCUUAAUUGACUUGGUAACGCAGCUAACGCGUGAAGUAGACCGCCUGGGGAGUACGGUCGCGAAGAUUAAAACUCAAAGGAAUUGACGGCUGAGAGAGCGACGACGACGACGAGGGAGGAGG